rnacentral:rRNA from 1 species
GUGAACGCUGGCGGUAGGCCUAACACAUGCCAGUCGAACGGCAGCACAGUAAGAGCUUGCUCUUACGGGUGGCGAGUGGCGGACGGGUGAGGAAUACAUCGGAAUCUACUUUUUCGUGGGGGAUAACGUAGGGAAACUUACGCUAAUACCGCAUACGACCUACGGGUGAAAGCAGGUGAUCUUCGGACCUUGCGCGAUUGAAUGAGCCGAUGUCGGAUUAGCUAGUUGGCGGGGUAAAGGCCCACCAAGGCGACGAUCCGUAGCUGGUCUGAGAGGAUGAUCAGCCACACUGGAACUGAGACACGGUCCAGACUCCUACGGGAGGCAGCAGUGGGGAAUAUUGGACAAUGGGCGCAAGCCUGAUCCAGCCAUACCGCGUGGGUGAAGAAGGCCUUCGGGUUGUAAAGCCCUUUUGUUGGGAAAGAAAAGCAGCAGGUUAAUACCCCGCUGUUCUGACGGUACCCAAAGAAUAAGCACCGGCUAACUUCGUG